AACGAACGCUGGCGGCAUGCCUAACACAUGCAAGUCGAACGAGACCUUCGGGUCUAGUGGCGCACGGGUGCGUAACGCGUGGGAACCUGCCUUUAGGUUCGGAAUAACUCAGAGAAAUUUGAGCUAAUACCGGAUGAUGUCUUCGGACCAAAGAUUUAUCGCCUUUAGAUGGGCCCGCGUUGGAUUAGCUAGUUGGUGGGGUAAAGGCCUACCAAGGCGACGAUCCAUAGCUGGUCUGAGAGGAUGAUCAGCCACACUGGGACUGAGACACGGCCCAGACUCCUACGGGAGGCAGCAGUGGGGAAAUUGGGACAAUGGGCGAAAGCCUGAGCCAGAAAUGCCGCGUGAGUGAUGAAGGCCUUAGGGUUGUAAAGCUUUUUUACCCGAGAUGAUAAUGACAGUAUCGGGAGAAUAAGCCCCGGCUAACCCCGU
rnacentral:rRNA from 1 species